GACGAACGCUGGCGGCGUGCUUAACACAUGCAAGUCGAACGCUGAAGACCUGGCUUUUGUUGGGUUGGAUGAGUGGCGAACGGGUGAGUAACACGUGAGUAACCUGCCCUCUUCUUUGGGAUAACGCCCGGAAACGGGUGCUAAUACUGGAUAUUCACUGAUCUUCGCAUGGGGGUUGGUGGAAAGGUUUGUUCUGGUGGGGGAUGGGCUCGCGGCCUAUCAGCUUGUUGGUGGGGUGAUGGCCUACCAAGGCUUUGACGGGUAGCCGGCCUGAGAGGGUGACCGGUCACAUUGGGACUGAGAUGCGGCCCAGACUCCUACGGGAGGCAGCAGUGGGGAAUAUUGCACAAUGGGCGAAAGCCUGAUGCAGCGACGCCGCGUGAGGGAUGGAGGCCUUCGGGUUGUAAACCUCUUUCGCUCAUGGUCAAGCCGCAACUGUGGGUUGUGGUGAGGGUAGUGGGUAAAGAAGCGCCGGCUAACUACGUG
rnacentral:rRNA from 1 species